rnacentral:ncRNA from 1 species
UUGAUGGCAAUGAGGAAGAAGAGUAGGCAUUUGAUGAGACUUCAGAGAGCUGAUGGUUGGUGCGAAUCAGUGUCGAGUGGAUGUUGAAUGGGCUUCCGAGCUCCAGACCGAACCCGCUUUUGGGCGACAGUAGGCUCUGGCGUUACGUCCGUACGUUAUCAUCGGACACCGUAUCAUUGGUACGGAACAAGAGAUUUUGCGCAUGCCUUUUUUCAUGCGUGAAAUAACAAGGGUGGCACCACGGUUCAUUCGUCCCUAUC